UGAAGAUCUUCUGUUUCUCAAGAGUGGUGCUAGCUCUGGGGAUAUAGGAUUCAACAAGGCAACCACAGUGUCUGCCCCUUAGAGCUUUGAUCUCCAGGGACUGCUGAUAGGGGUAAAGACCGCUUCCCAGACUUGUGGAGACAGACAUACCACAGGAACCUUCAUGAGCUAAACAAUUUCCCAGUACCCAGCGGCCUCAUGAGCACCAACAGUUUCAUGGGACAGUAAAGAUGAAAUAAAGUAACGUAUAGAACUAUAAGUAUAGACCCU
rnacentral:lncRNA from 13 species